rnacentral:rRNA from 1 species
UACGAAGGGGGCUAGCGUUGCUCGGAAUUACUGGGCGUAAAGGGCGCGUAGGCGGUUCUAUAAGUCAGGCGUGAAAUUCCUGGGCUUAACCUGGGGGCUGCGCUUGAGACUGUGGGACUUGAGGUCAGAAGAGGGUCGUGGAAUUCCCAGUGUAGAGGUGAAAUUCGUAGAUAUUGGGAAGAACACCGGUGGCGAAGGCGGCGGCCUGGUCUGAUACUGACGCUGAGGCGCGACAGCGUGGGGAGCAAACAGG